rnacentral:rRNA from 1 species
CCUACGGGUGGCAGCAGUGGGUAAUAUUGCACAAUGGGCGAAAGCCUGAUGCAGCAACGCCGCGUGAGCGAUGAAGGCCUUCGGGCCGUAAAGCCCUGUCCUCAAGGAAGAUAAUGACGGUACUUGAGGAGGAAGCCCCGGCUAACUACGUGCCAGCAGCCGCGGUAAUACGUAGGGGGCUAGCGUUAUCCGGAUUUACUGGGCGUAAAGGGUGCGCAGGUGGUUUCUUAAGUCAGAGGUGAAAGGCUACGGCUCAACCGGAGUAAGCCUUUGAAACUGGGUUACUUGAGUGCAGGAGGGGAGAGUGGAAUUCCUAGUGUAGCGGUGAAAUGCGUAGAUAUUAGGAGGAACACCAGUGGCGAAGGCGGCUCUCUGGACUGUAACUGACGCUGAGGCACGAAGGCGUGGGGAGCAAACAGGAUUAGAUACCCCUGUAGUC